rnacentral:rRNA from 1 species
AUUGAACGCUGGCGGCAGGCCUAACACAUGCAAGUCGAGCGGCAGCGGGAAGUAGCUUGCUACUUUGCCGGCGAGCGGCGGACGGGUGAGUAAUGCCUGGGGAUCUGCCCAAUCGAGGGGGAUAACUACUGGAAACGGUAGCUAAUACCGCAUACGCCCUACGGGGGAAAGCAGGGGACCUUUUGGCCUUGCGCGAUUGGAUGAACCCAGGUGGGAUUAGCUUGUUGGUGAGGUAACGGCUCACCAAGGCGACGAUCCCUAGCUGGUCUGAGAGGAUGGUGAGCCACACUGGAACUGAGACACGGUCCAGACUCCUACGGGAGGCAGCAGUGGGGGAUAUUGCACAAUGGGGGAAACCCUGAUGCAGCCAUGCCGCGUGUGUGAAGAAGGCCUUCGGGUUGUAAAGCACUUUCAGCGAGGAGGAAGGGGAGUGAGUUAAUACCUCACUUCAUUGACGUUACUCGCAGAAGAAGCACCGGCUAACUCCGUGCCAGCAGCCGCGGUAA